UGUGGACCCUGCUGAGACGAUUAUCCGAAGAAUGGCCAGCUAAACCAGAAGUGUGGGCUUGAACCAAUUACAAGCAGUGCCUGGAAGUAACGGGCCUACCAGUAAAGUCACUCGAAGAACUCAAGAGUGCUAAUGACAGACUUGAUGGCGAGGACAAGGGAACCAGGCACGAGAGGAAUGCCCUAAUCAGUACCUUAACUGCAUACACCCCUGGAAUGGAACAAGGGAAGGAUACAGUAACAAUCAUUGUGAGGGGCUGCUUGAACGCUACGGCUCCUGUUUAUCUUUGGCAGUCAGGACAAGUCAGGAACCGUCAAAGGCAGCCUUGCCAGGGAUGUGCCACAAAUUUACAGAGUUGUCAUGGCGGCUGCAA